AUACUGCCUGGCACUGGAGAUACCAUGAUCAAGAAAGUGGUUUUCCCAGGGUGAGGUAUGUCGAUUGCACUCUGACAUGCUGACCCCUGCAAUGUCAAGUGCAGGAAACUCAAUUGCAUAGUUUGUGGUAGUGGAGCACUGUGUUCACACUCUUCCC
rnacentral:snRNA from 1 species